rnacentral:rRNA from 1 species
AUUGAACGCUGGCGGCAUGCCUUACACAUGCAAGUCGAACGGCAGCACGGGAGCAAUCCUGGUGGCGAGUGGCGAACGGGUGAGUAAUAUAUCGGAACGUGCCCAGUCGUGGGGGAUAACGUAGCGAAAGCUACGCUAAUACCGCAUACGAUCUAUGGAUGAAAGCGGGGGAUCGCAAGACUUCGCGCGAUUGGAGCGGCCGAUAUCAGAUUAGGUAGUUGGUGAGGUGAAGGCUCACCAAGCCGACGAUCUGUAGCUGGUCUGAGAGGACGACCAGCCACACUGGGACUGAGACACGGCCCAGACUGCUACGGGAGGCAGCAGUGGGGAAUUUUGGACAAUGGGCGCAAGCCUGAUCCAGCAAUGCCGCGUGCAGGAUGAAGGCCUUCGGGUUGUAAACUGCUUUUGUACGGAACGAAACGGCGAGCUCUAAUACAGUUUGCUAAUGACGGUACCGUAAGAAUAAGCACCGGCUAACUACGUGCCAGCCGCCGCCGUAA